GACAGAGGGUGCAAACGUUGUUCGGAAUUACUGGGCGUAAAGCGCGUGUAGGCGGCUAAGUAAGUCGGGCGUGAAAUCCCACGGCUCAACCGUGGAAGUGCACUCGAAACUGCAUAGCUAGAGUCCUGGAGAGGAAGGUGGAAUGCUUGGUGUAGAGGUGAAAUUCGUAGAUAUCAAGCGGAACACCGGUGGCGAAGGCGGCCUUCUGGACAGUAACUGACGCUGAGACGCGAAAGCGUGGGGAGCAAACAGG
rnacentral:rRNA from 1 species